AGCACGAACCUCCGGGGAGCCGCUGGAUAAAAAACAAGCCGCUAUUAAAGGACACCAGUGACCCAAAUGGACUGAAAUCUGUCAGCAGAUAUCCAGCCUGCAGUGAACUGGAGAUGUGACAGAAGAGUCUGCGAGGAGUUUAAAGGCUGAAACAAAAAUCUAUGAACACGAAGGGUGAGUAGGUCGAAGGUCCGUCUGGAUGUUGACAGAGGAGAUGAAGUAAUGGGGCUGUCCCAUCUUUCACUCAGAUGGGGAUCUCAAUCAAAACAAUAACAAAAGGAGUAGUUUGAUGACAUCAUGAAGUAACGUGGGAUCAUAGGAGUUGGCGUUUUCCCCAUUGCCGAUGAAAAUCAUGACAGAAAUCAUGUUCACGGACGAGCCCUCCACAGGGAUGCGGAUGUUGGUCAGAUGACAGAGGAGCCUGCAGUCCUGCCCCGCCCCCGCCAGUGCCAGCACUGCUGCCAUGACAACCAGCUGCAUCCUCUGCCGGGUGCA